AAAGCAGAUUGGGCAAUCGCGGUGUCUUCAUGGCAUCGAGGAAGGUCCGGACUCCAUAGAGCAGGGUAACGGUUAACGACCGUCCGGCUGAACAUGCGCGUAAGCGCUUGAUUCAGUUGAGGACUAGGGCCACAGAGACGAGUCUGCGGUGGGGGUGUGCCUUCGGGCGUACUCCGUUACGGUGUAGCCGUGAUGAUGGGUUUGACUUGUUCAAAUCCGACAACGCAGGGUGAAACGCGGCAACCUCUACCCGGAGCAACAUCAAAUAGGCAUGCGUGUGGUCUUUGAUCACGACGGGCGGCUCGCUCAAGUAUGCGGGUAGGUGGCUAGAGCACAUCAGCAAUGCUGUGCCCAGAGGAAUGAUUGCCAACCAGAGCAAUCUGGUUUACAGAAUCCGGCCUAUAGAUCUGCUUUGCAC
rnacentral:RNase_P_RNA from 1 species